GUGGUUGUAGCUCAGUUGGUUAGAGCGCCUGGUUGUGGUUCAGGAGGUCGCCGGUUCGAACCCGGUCUUCCACC
rnacentral:tRNA from 2 species